rnacentral:rRNA from 1 species
GAUGAACGCUGACAGCAUGCUUAACACAUGCAAGUCGAUGGGACAGAGGUGCUUCUUCCAUGGCAAACAUUGCGGACGGGUGAGUAACUCGUAAGGGACUUACCUGCAUGACUGGGAUAACAGGCUUAGACUCCUGAGAGGUCCGGACAAAUAAUUUGUUCUACAGGGCUGUUCGAUGAAAGGAGACGACUGUGGAGAGACUUGCGUCUUGUUACGUGGUUGGUGAGGUAAUGGCUCAACAAGGGGAAUAUAGGUAGCCGGCCUGAGAGGGUAGACGGCCACGAGGGGACUGAGAUACGGCACUUACUACUACGGGAGGCAGCAGUGGGGAAUAUUGGACAAUGGGGGCAACCCUGAUCCAGCAAUUCUGUGUGCACGAAGAAGGUUUUCGGAUUGUAAAGUGCUUUCAGCAGGGAAGAAGUAAGUGACGGUACCUGCAGAAGAAGCGACGGCUAACUACGUG